rnacentral:tRNA from 1 species
GUAGGCAACAGCUCAGUGGUAGAGUGCAUGCUUAGCAUGCACGAGGUCCUGGGUUCGAUCCCCAGUACCUCUA